GGUCGAUGAUGAGAAGUAAAAGGUCUGAUUUUACCCAUAAAGCUCAUCCCGACCCGUGCUCCCCAGCAGCUUGCACUCCGUGCUGCCAGCACGCUGAAAGUAACGCCGUGCUGGUCUCUGAGCUGCUGACACACACAGGAAGUGAUGCCAUAUUUGGAGUCGUGCGCAGACCAUCUCGGCUUCCUUGUCCUUUACUUCCAACCAAAACCAUCACAAUGGAGUGUAGGGUGGGGGUGGGUGAAGGGGACUGAUCUAAAGUUUUCAAGCUGAGACC